UCAGGGUUCGAUUCCGGAGAGGCAGCCUGAGAAACGGCUACCACGUCCAAGGACGGCAGCAGGCACGCAAAUUACCCAAUCCCAGCACCUGGGGGAGGUAGUGACGAAAUCUAACGAUGCGGGCGCCCAUUCUGGGCCUCGCAAUCGGAAUGAGUAUUUUCUAAACAACCUGUUGAGAACCUACUGAAGGGCAAGUCUGGUGCCAGCAGCCGCGGUAAUUCCAGCUUCAGCAGCAUAUAUUAAAGUUGCUGCGGUUAAAAGGCUCGCAGUUGAAUGUCAGUGUUGGGCGACGGUAAGGUGGACGCUGGAGCAUGGGAACUAAGCGCGCUCGCGUGCA
rnacentral:rRNA from 1 species